AACAAUCAACAGGGCUUUGAAGUGGAAAGGGAGUGGGUGGUGGGGGGGUGUGUGGCUUUAGGGUCUCUGGCUUAGGAAGCUGAGUCUCCGUAGUGCCAUUCAUACAGAUGGAAUGAGGGAAGAAGCAGUUUCAUGGGAAAGUAGUAAAUUUGAUUGAGUAACAAGAGCUUGGGGGAUCCAGAAGAGAGCUAGGUUUGCAGUUCAGGAGUCCAGGAGAGAGUCAGACUGAAAACAUAAGCCCAUGGAUAGUCAGUCAUUGAAGCCAUGGGAAUGAAGAUCACCUAUGGGAAACACAGAUAGAAGCGAAUGUUACCACAAUGAAGUGUGGUCUAUACAAUUAAUUGCUGCAAAGAGGUCAGCACCACCUCUCAGCAUAUAUUUGCUAUGUGGUAGCAGAAUCCUUGGUGAAUGAGCAUCGAAAGGCAUGUUUUGAUCAGGCUGGGAAAUGAGGAGAGAAUGCGAAGAUCUGAAAGGAUCCCCUGUCUGGAAUAAAUCUUGGUAAAAGAUGCUACGAAAGCUGGACCUAGGACAGGAGGAUAUGAAGAGCAAAGGGAGACAGGCAGAAUGAGAAUAUGGUAAUAGCAGAGGUACCAAAGCGUUGUGUAGGGGAAUAAAGUCCAGCAAAGUGGGGAGGAGCAGAAAAGAAGAACCCACGUCCUAGGCCAGCCUACACAGCACUCCUGAGCAGGGGAGAUCUGGUAAUUACGCUAUUGAUUUUACACAUCUGGAUAAAGGAAAUGCCAGUGAUAGGCUGCUGACAACCACCUUUCUCUACUACGCUCCUUAUGUGCAUAUCCAACCACUUAUUUGAAACCUCUACUCUUGAUUUCUCAAGAGUAGAAUUCUUUCCCAAGCCUCCCCAUUUCAG
rnacentral:lncRNA from 1 species